AACGUAGGAUCCGAGCGUUAUCCGAAUUCACUGGGCGUAAAGCGCAUGUAGGCGGCAGGAUAAGUUGGAUGUGAAAUCUCCCGGCUCAACUGGGAGGCGACGUUCAAAACUAUCCCGCUCGAGGACGGUAGAGGAAGGUAGAAUUCCCGGUGUAGUGGUGAAAUGCGUAGAUAUCGGGAGGAAUACCCGUGGCGAAGGCGACCUUCUGGACCGUUUCUGACGCUCAGAUGCGAAAGCUAGGGGAGCGAACGGG
rnacentral:rRNA from 1 species